GAGGGAGUAGCUCAGUGGUAGGGCGCAUGCUUAGCAUGUAAGAGGUCCUGGGUUCAAUCCCUAGCACUUCCA
rnacentral:tRNA from 1 species